GGCUAAAGUUUAGUCUUAGGCUCAGGAUUAUGCUUAAGUUUAGUCUUAGGCUCAGGAUUAUGCUUGGCUUAGGCUUGGGCCUUAGGCUUGAGCAAAUGCUUAGGCUUAGGCUUAGGCGAAGGCUUAGGCUCUAAAAUUACGCUUAGGCU
ensembl:ncRNA Y7A5A.17 ncRNA